rnacentral:rRNA from 1 species
UACAGAGGUCUCGAGCGUUUGUUCGGAUUCAUUGGGCGUAAAGGGUGCGUAGGUGGCGAUGUAAGUCUGGUGUGAAAUCUCUGAGCUCAACUCGGAAAUUGCAUUGGAUACUGCGUUGCUUGAGGAUUGUAGAGGAGAGUGGAAUUCACGGUGUAGCAGUGAAAUGCGUAGAUAUCGUGAGGAAGACCAGUUGCGAAGGCGACUCUCUGGGCAAUUCCUGACACUGAGGCACGAAGGCCAGGGGAGCAAACGGG